ACUUAUGAACAUGGCAAAAAAAUAACAAAGAAAAUAUUCCUUAAAGUAUAUAAAAAAAUAAAAAUCUUACAGUCAUAUGCACAUUAGAAGUGAACUAUAUAUGCAGAACACUCUGCAGAACCAGGGAGGUUGAUUACUUGUCCAUAUCACAAUGUAUGCUGUUUAUUGAGUGUGUGUGAAGACCUUUAAUGCCAGACUUCACAGACCUCACUGCGGUCACGAACAAAGCCAAAGCCAUAAAUGUAACACCCGAUUUUCAGGGGAGAUGGGAAUAUGGAAAAGUGUUUGGGAAAUUCUCCUACAAAGAUGGAAUUGAAUCUCUCAAGAGAACUAGAGAACAGUUUCUACAGCCUCCAGGCACUGGGAUGUGGCACAGGGGCACUCCUUCAUCUCCAGGUCAGUCCAGUGCGGCCAAGACUGCUAAGCCCAUCCCUUUCCUUCACGGGAGGAAACUCCCUCUUCUGUCACUGGACUACACAAGAGAGGGGAGGGAAAGAGAAGAAAGAAAAAAACACCCUCUUCUGUCCACCAUUUUAGAGAGAGAAAAGGAAUUUCUCAGCUGCUCUCCUAUCUGACAUCCAAAUGGAAAAGGCAAGAGACCAGGCUGUUUCCUCAUUGCAUUAGAGGUGAGAGGAAGCAGGAUAGGAAGAGGUCAGGAAGCAGCCAACAAAAGGAGAAAACUGCCCCCAGCCCAACUCUACACGACUGCUCGCAUGAAAUUCGGGGAGAGAGAAUGGCAGCCGAGGAGGAGGAGGCAGAAAAGGCACCUUUCCUGCAGGGGCAGCAAUGCUGGCAUACCAAGCGUUCGCCAAGGGGCCCAGGGACCAUCACCUUGGCAUCCUCCCUGUCUCAGCAGCCGUGCCACUCAGUUCUGCCUAUGCAACUGGGACAGCCCGAGUGCACGAUGCUGGAAAUCCCAGUGCCAUCAGACGUGGGGCAGCACCCCAGGGUGAGGAGAGGGACACAGCACCUGGGUAGCACCACCGAGCGGCUAAGUCACAGGGAAGACAAGAUCGGUUUGUGUUGUUGCUAUUUCAGCCUGGGCAGGGCUAGACUACAGCAAGUCUUGACAGCCCUCCUUGUUCAAACACAAGUCUAUUUGCUUUAAUUAAGGUAAGCUAGGGAAAGAGUUAAAACUAUGAAAUUGUUGACUGAGAAUGCAUCUAUGCCCUACUUUCCCUCUGUACUGCUCUCGUAGUACCCCCACCCUGGAUAUUUCUUCUAUUAAAUACUUUACAUUUAGAGAGAGGAAUGGGUACUGAGGGUCUCAGCCCCAUCUUCCCAUCUGGGGGACUGCUGUAAUGCACAAAGCAAUGUCCCAGUGCUAAUAUGUAACCACAGAAAUUCGGCAGGCAGCCUCCAAACCACUAAUCUGAGCAUAAACCAGCUCUACCUCUGAGCAGCCCCACAAAGGCAAAGCCGGGGUAUUCACCAUCACCGGCCCAGGUACGCUUGUUGAAGUGUUAGCUGGGAAAUGCUACAGGUUCUUAAUGUCGUUGUCUCCUGAAUGGUAGCAAAUCCAUACGUACAACGAUCGAGAUAGGUGUGCAAUCUGAUUGCUUUUAUUGAGUAAUAGUCUGGUAGCUACAAUGGUGAAUUAGAAGAAAAAAAAAGG